GGGCAGGGUAAGUCGACCCCUAAGGCGAGGCCGAAAGGCGUAGUCGAUGGGAAACGGGUUAAUAUUCCCGUACUUCUUACAAUUGCGAUGGGGGGACGGAGAAGGCUAGGUGGGCCUGGCGACGGUUGUCCAGGUUCAAGUGYGUAGGCUURAGAGUUAGGUAAAUCCGGCUCUUUUUAAGGCUGAGACACGACGUCGAGCMWCUACGGWKGUGAAGUCAUUGAUGCCAUGCUUCCAGGAAAAGCCUCUAAGCUUCAGAUUGUAAGGAAUCGUACCCCAAACCGACACAGGUGGUCGGGUAGAGAAUACCAAGGCGCUUGAGAGAACUCGGGUGAAGGAACUAGGCAAAAUGGUACCGUAACUUCGGGAGAAGGUACGCUCUCGACGGUGAAGUCCCUCGCGGAUGGAGCUAUUGAGAGUCGCAGAUACCAGGUGGCUGCAACUGUUUAUUAAAAACACAGCACUGUGCAAAAUCGUAAGAUGACGUAUACGGUGUGACGCCUGCCCGG
rnacentral:rRNA from 1 species